rnacentral:rRNA from 1 species
GAUGAACGCUAGCGAUAGGCUUAACACAUGCAAGUCGAGGGGCAGCACAAGGUAGCUUGCUAUCUGGGUGGCGACCGGCGCACGGGUGCGUAACGCGUAUGCAACUUGCCCUAUACAGGAGGAUAACCCGUCGAAAGACGGACUAAUACUGCGUAUGCUCACAACUUGGCAUCAAGUGGUGAGGAAAGAAAUUCGGUAUAGGAUAGGCAUGCGUCCCAUUAGCUUGUUGGUGAGGUAACGGCUCACCAAGGCAACGAUGGGUAGGGGAACUGAGAGGUUUAUCCCCCACACUGGUACUGAGACACGGACCAGACUCCUACGGGAGGCAGCAGUGAGGAAUAUUGGUCAAUGGGCGCGAGCCUGAGCCAGCCAAGUCGCGUGAAGGAUGACUGUCUUAUGGAUUGUAAACUUCUUUUAUACGGGAAUAACAAGAGUCACGUGUGACUCCCUGCAUGUACCGUAUGAAUAAGCAUCGGCUAACUCCGUG